GGUUAAGCGACUAAGCGUACACGGUGGAUGCCCUGGCAGUCAGAGGCGAUGAAGGACGUGCUAAUCUGCGAUAAGCGUCGGUAAGGUGAUAUGAACCGUUAUAACCGGCGAUUUCCGAAUGGGGAAACCCAGUGUGAUUCGUCACACUAUCAUUAACUGAAUCCAUAGGUUAAUGAGGCGAACCGGGGGAACUGAAACAUCUAAGUACCCCGAGGAAAAGAAAUCAACCGAGAUUCCCCCAGUAGCGGCGAGCGAACGGGGAGCAGCCCAGAGCCUGAAUCAGUGUGUGUGUUAGUGGAAGCGUCUGGAAAGGCGUGCGAUACAGGGUGACAGCCCCGUACACAAAAAUGCACAUGCUGUGAGCUCGAUGAGUAGGGCGGGACACGUGGUAUCCUGUCUGAAUAUGGGGGGACCAUCCUCCAAGGCUAAAUACUCCUGACUGACCGAUAGUGAACCAGUACCGUGAGGGAAAGGCGAAAAGAACCCCGGCGAGGGGAGUGAAAAAGAACCUGAAACCGUGUACGUACAAGCAGUGGGAGCACGCUUAGGCGUGUGACUGCGUACCUUUUGUAUAAUGGGUCAGCGACUUAUAUUCUGUAGCAAGGUUAACCGAAUAGGGGAGCCGAAGGGAAACCGAGUCUUAACUGGGCGUUAAGUUGCAGGGUAUAGACCCGAAACCCGGUGAUCUAGCCAUGGGCAGGUUGAAGGUUGGGUAACACUAACUGGAGGACCGAACCGACUAAUGUUGAAAAAUUAGCGGAUGACUUGUGGCUGGGGGUGAAAGGCCAAUCAAACCGGGAGAUAGCUGGUUCUCCCCGAAAGCUAUUUAGGUAGCGCCUCGUGAAUUCAUCUCCGGGGGUAGAGCACUGUUUCGGCAAGGGGGUCAUCCCGACUUACCAACCCGAUGCAAACUGCGAAUACCGGAGAAUGUUAUCACGGGAGACACACGGCGGGUGCUAACGUCCGUCGUGAAGAGGGAAACAACCCAGACCGCCAGCUAAGGUCCCAAAGUCAUGGUUAAGUGGGAAACGAUGUGGGAAGGCCCAGACAGCCAGGAUGUUGGCUUAGAAGCAGCCAUCAUUUAAAGAAAGCGUAAUAGCUCACUGGUCGAGUCGGCCUGCGCGGAAGAUGUAACGGGGCUAAACCAUGCACCGAAGCUGCGGCAGCGACACUAUGUGUUGUUGGGUAGGGGAGCGUUCUGUAAGCCUGUGAAGGUGUACUGUGAGGUAUGCUGGAGGUAUCAGAAGUGCGAAUGCUGACAUAAGUAACGAUAAAGCGGGUGAAAAGCCCGCUCGCCGGAAGACCAAGGGUUCCUGUCCAACGUUAAUCGGGGCAGGGUGAGUCGACCCCUAAGGCGAGGCCGAAAGGCGUAGUCGAUGGGAAACAGGUUAAUAUUCCUGUACUUGGUGUUACUGCGAAGGGGGGACGGAGAAGGCUAUGUUGGCCGGGCGACGGUUGUCCCGGUUUAAGCGUGUAGGCUGGUUUUCCAGGCAAAUCCGGAAAAUCAAGGCUGAGGCGUGAUGACGAGGCACUACGGUGCUGAAGCAACAAAUGCCCUGCUUCCAGGAAAAGCCUCUAAGCAUCAGGUAACAUCAAAUCGUACCCCAAACCGACACAGGUGGUCAGGUAGAGAAUACCAAGGCGCUUGAGAGAACUCGGGUGAAGGAACUAGGCAAAAUGGUGCCGUAACUUCGGGAGAAGGCACGCUGAUAUGUAGGUGAAGUCCCUCGCGGAUGGAGCUGAAAUCAGUCGAAGAUACCAGCUGGCUGCAACUGUUUAUUAAAAACACAGCACUGUGCAAACACGAAAGUGGACGUAUACGGUGUGACGCCUGCCCGGUGCCGGAAGGUUAAUUGAUGGGGUCAGCGCAAGCGAAGCUCUUGAUCGAAGCCCCGGUAAACGGCGGCCGUAACUAUAACGGUCCUAAGGUAGCGAAAUUCCUUGUCGGGUAAGUUCCGACCUGCACGAAUGGCGUAAUGAUGGCCAGGCUGUCUCCACCCGAGACUCAGUGAAAUUGAACUCGCUGUGAAGAUGCAGUGUACCCGCGGCAAGACGGAAAGACCCCGUGAACCUUUACUAUAGCUUGACACUGAACAUUGAGCCUUGAUGUGUAGGAUAGGUGGGAGGCUUUGAAGUGUGGACGCCAGUCUGCAUGGAGCCGACCUUGAAAUACCACCCUUUAAUGUUUGAUGUUCUAACGUUGACCCGUGAUCCGGGUUGCGGACAGUGUCUGGUGGGUAGUUUGACUGGGGCGGUCUCCUCCUAAAGAGUAACGGAGGAGCACGAAGGUUGGCUAAUCCUGGUCGGACAUCAGGAGGUUAGUGCAAUGGCAUAAGCCAGCUUGACUGCGAGCGUGACGGCGCGAGCAGGUGCGAAAGCAGGUCAUAGUGAUCCGGUGGUUCUGAAUGGAAGGGCCAUCGCUCAACGGAUAAAAGGUACUCCGGGGAUAACAGGCUGAUACCGCCCAAGAGUUCAUAUCGACGGCGGUGUUUGGCACCUCGAUGUCGGCUCAUCACAUCCUGGGGCUGAAGUAGGUCCCAAGGGUAUGGCUGUUCGCCAUUUAAAGUGGUACGCGAGCUGGGUUUAGAACGUCGUGAGACAGUUCGGUCCCUAUCUGCCGUGGGCGCUGGAGAAUUGAGGGGGGCUGCUCCUAGUACGAGAGGACCGGAGUGGACGCAUCACUGGUGUUCGGGUUGUCAUGCCAAUGGCACUGCCCGGUAGCUAAAUGCGGAAGAGAUAAGUGCUGAAAGCAUCUAAGCACGAAACUUGCCCCGAGAUGAGUUCUCCCUGACUCCUUGAGAGUCCUGAAGGAACGUUGAAGACGACGACGUUGAUAGGCCGGGUGUGUAAGCGCAGCGAUGCGUUGAGCUAACCGGUACUAAUGAACCGUGAGGCUUAACCUU
rnacentral:rRNA from 1 species